UGGUGUGGUUGUUACGGGAAUGUGACGCAUGGAACGGCGGGGUGGGUUUCCAGACAUGGCGCAUACACCCAAUUCUGCGACGGCAUAAUCACUGGCUGGAUCUAGUGGGGACCACGCGGCGUCCACCUUAACGAUUGGUUGUAGGACGCCCUACAGAGAGCAUUCAUCUCCCUCCCCGCACUCCAGAAAUCACUAUAUUUGGUCCCUUCCGCCGAGGGAGCGGCUCCGCAGUUCGGUUACCGCCUUUCGCAAACUCCUCUCUCUCUCUCUCUCUCUCCCUCCCUCCCUUCCCCAAUCAUCUCAUCACUACUGCGGUCAUAACGAGCUAGAGAGACGUGAGGGGGUCUGAAAUCAUUUCGCUCGUAUUUUGUUGUUUUAGGUACGUCAACCAGACAACUACAAGAUGAAGAGAGAGGGGAGGCAACAUGGCAUUGUGAGAAGCUCAACUAUCCUACCACAAGAGUUCAAUCCAAGACGCAAGUCCAAAAUAGUCAAUUGUGUUGGUGCUUCUCCGACCACCAGAUUCUUCACCAAGGCACCAUCUAAGCCCCACAACCACUCCAAGUGCACGAGCAAGUGUCGCACUGCAAGGUGUAAGGGCUGCCAUUCCAAUCCAAUGUCCAAGUCCGGGGACAAGGCCAAAGGUGCAUAUAAGCUAAAAUCUUGUGAUGUGGUGCUCAAUCACCAACUGGUGGCAUGGCGGGUGGUCAACAACAGCACAAGUUUGCCGAAUUAUAAAGUUGCUUCUGCAAGUGAGACCCUCAAUCAUUUAUAUGCCGAUAGUUUGUGUGAAGGAGAAGAUUAUGACGAUCAUAACAUGGAGGAAAAUCUAGAUUACGGCUAUGGAGAAGUUUCUCCCGAGACUGUUGACUUGGAGGUGGGAUGUAAGGGUGCCAAAGUUGAAAAGGUAGAGCCAUUUAGCCCUGACAGUGAUGAGGCUGGUGAUAUGAACUUUUAUGUGGUUGGGAUGUCCUGGGAUUAUUCAGAUGGAGAAUGGCUGGUGGUAGGGGAGAUAUGAAACUUCACUGAAGCAAUUCAAACAGAGAGGAGGUUCUUACCUUGUGUAUUCUUCUCCCCUUUUGCUUGCUCAGAACUAGUGUUCAGGACACAUAUUUCUGGACAAACACUAUCGCUGUAAUGUGUAUCUUCUGUUGGUAAAACUGAAGCAAUCUGCCAUCAAAGUUAAUAAUUCAGAGAAAACUUGUCUCUGAGUUUGUGUA